rnacentral:lncRNA from 1 species
GGUACCGCGGCGUGGACUUCGACGUGGGCUGCCGACCGGCCCCGGUAACCGGUCUGUGCAAGGCCUCGUUCCUGCGCUGGUACUUUGACGUGGAUGCCGGCGAAUGCAAGCAGUUCAUUUACGGAGGAUGCGGUGGUAACGAGAACAGAUACCAAACCAUGAGGGAGUGCGAGAUCGCCUGCCUCCGUUGAUUCACCUGGAUGACUUCAGCGAAAGAAACCCCGAGCACGGACUGGUACUCAAGAAACACCUAUAUGUAGUACCCGUUCCGAAAUAAACUGGCUUCGCCGUUAUAUUUCGUA